GAUGAACGCUGGCGGCGUGCCUAAUACAUGCAAGUCGAGCGAACAGACGAGGAGCUUGCUCCUCUGAUGUUAGCGGCGGACGGGUGAGUAACACGUGGAUAACCUACCUAUAAGACUGGGAUAACUUCGGGAAACCGGAGCUAAUACCGGAUAACAUGUUAAACCGCAUGGUUCAACAGUGAAAGACGGUCUUGCUGUCACUUAUAGAUGGAUCCGCGCCGCAUUAGCUAGUUGGUAAGGUAACGGCUUACCAAGGCAACGAUGCGUAGCCGACCUGAGAGGGUGAUCGGCCACACUGGAACUGAGACACGGUCCAGACUCCUACGGGAGGCAGCAGUAGGGAAUCUGCCGCAAUGGGCGAAAGCCUGACGGAGCAACGCCGCGUGAGUGAAGAAGGUCUUCGGAUCGUAAAACUCUGUUAUUAGGGAAGAACAAAUGUGUAAGUAACUAUGCACGUCUUGACGGUACCUAAUCAGAAAGCCACGGCUAACUACGUGCCGGCAGCCGCGGUAAUACGUAGGUGGCAAGCGUUAUCCGGAAUUAUUGGGCGUAAAGCGCGCGUAGGCGGUUUUUUAAGUCUGAUGUGAAAACCCACGGCUCAACCGUGGAGGGUCAUUGGAAACUGGAAAACUUGAGUGCAGAAGAGGAAAGUGGAAUUCCAUGUGUAGCGGUGAAAUGCGCAGAGAUAUGGAGGAACACCAGUGGCGAAGGCGACUUUCUGGUCUGUAACUGACGCUGAUGUGCGAAAGCGUGGGGAUCAAACAGG
rnacentral:rRNA from 1 species